rnacentral:rRNA from 1 species
UACGAAGGGGGCUAGCGUUGCUCGGAAUCACUGGGCGUAAAGGGUGCGUAGGCGGGUCUUUAAGUCAGGGGUGAAAUCCUGGAGUUCAACUCCAGAACUGCCUUUGAUACUGAGAGUCUUGAGUCCGGGAGAGGUGAGUGGAACUGCGAGUGUAGAGGUGAAAUUCGUAGAUAUUCGCAAGAACACCAGUGGCGAAGGCGGCUCACUGGCCCGGUACUGACGCUGAGGUGCGAAAGCGUGGGGAGCAAACAGG